rnacentral:tRNA from 1 species
CGGGGCGUAGCGCAGUUUGGUAGCGCAUCUGGUUUGGGACCAGAGGGUCGGGGGUUCAAAUCCCUCCGCCCCGACCA